CCUACGGGAGGCAGCAGUGGGGAAUAUUGGACAAUGGGGGGAACCCUGAUCCAGCCAUGCCGCGUGUGUGAAGAAGGCCCGCGGGUUGUAAAGCACUUUCAGUGAGGAAGAACGCCUGGUGGUUAAUACCCAUCAGGAAAGACAUCACUCACAGAAGAAGCACCGGCUAACUCCGUGCCAGCAGCCGCGGUAAUACGGAGGGUGCGAGCGUUAAUCGGAAUUACUGGGCGUAAAGCGCGCGUAGGUGGCUUGAUAAGCCGGUUGUGAAAGCCCCGGGCUCAACCUGGGAACGGCAUCCGGAACUGUCAAGCUAGAGUGCAGGAGAGGAAGGUAGAAUUCCCGGUGUAGCGGUGAAAUGCGUAGAGAUCGGGAGGAAUACCAGUGGCGAAGGCGGCCUUCUGGACUGACACUGACACUGAGGUGCGAAAGCGUGGGUAGCAAACAGGAUUAGAUACCCUGGUAGUC
rnacentral:rRNA from 1 species